rnacentral:misc_RNA from 1 species
GUGCAUCAAGGUUGUUCUUUCCUUGAGCAUCGUUCGGGUUCCUCGUGUUGCAUACCGAUUUGAUGGCAUCGUAAGGUUCAAUCGAAGUCCCGUUUCGUCUUGCGUCGCUCAUGGGGCGCGUGAUGAGCCUCGAAGCGGCCUCCUCGAUCCUUGUCUUCGGUGCCCAGGCAUCGAAUGACGUGGAUAGUCUAGCGUCGCUUGGUCUCUUGGAUACGGAACAUGGUGUGGGCAUGGGGCCUCUUGUGGCCUCGUGUUUGCCCUUGUCAAGCGUUCACGCUUCUACGAAACGACCGUCGGUCACGCGUUCGUGCGUGGCCGGCGAUGUCGAAG